CCUCACUUCCUCUUUCUGUUCAUAAACAUUCUUCCACGACGUGCUGUGCUGGAAUCCCUGAGCCUGCUCUGGCCUGGGAGGCUGCCUGAUUUGUCCAGGAUCCAGUCCAGGAGCAUGCAUUACAUUUAGUUGUCACAUGUCCGAAUAGAAGGAAGGAGAUUCCCUUCAAUAUGGAAUAAUUUCUUAGUCUUUCCCUGUCUUCCACAUCCUUCCGUUUUUUGUUUUUGUUUUUAUUUUGAGACAGUCUCACUCUGUCACCCAGGCUGGAGUACAGUGGGGUGAUCAUGGCUCACUAUAGCCUUGACUUCUCCAGGCUCAGGUGAUCCUCCUACCUCAGCCUCCUGAGUAUCUGGGACUACAGGCGUGUGCCACCACACUCGGCUAAUUUUUGCUUUUUUUUGUAGAACAGAGUUUCAAGUUGCUCAGGCUGGUCUCAAACUCCUGGGCUCAAGUGAUCCACCCACCUUGGCCUCCCAAAGUGCUGGGAUUACAGGCACGACCCACUGCAACUGGCCCCACAUCCUUCAGUUUUUAAGAGUGCAGGCCUUUUGUUAUGUAGGAUGGCCCUAGACCUGGUUCCAUCUAAUAUUUCAUUUUGGUCAGACCUCGCCAUGAUUUCUUGACAGGAAAAUGAUGGACAGGAUCCUGGGCUCUGCACAUUACAGCAUAUGAUGUGGUCUUGUCUCAUCACUGGUGAUGUUAAUCUUGAUUGCUUGGUCAUGUUGGUGUCUUCCAUAUUUCUCCUCCAUUGAGUCACCAUUUUCACCUUUGCAAUUGAUAAGCAUUUUGUGGGGAGAUUUUCUAAAAUUAUGCUAAAAUCCUGAUCCUUAACAACUUCUACCCAUCAGCCUUAAUAUUUGUGGAUGAUCCCUAUCUGAAUAAAUUAUAACCAUAAUAGUGUCAUAUGGUGGUUUGCUAUUUUCAUCAUUCCUUCUACAUUAAUUACUUGGUAUUCUACUGUAAGAAAGAAGUUCCACUGCUUCCUCUAUUUAUUUACUUAUUUAUUCAUUUAUUUAGUAGUAUGAAUUUCAAUUUAACAGGUUAAAAACCAUGCUUGUUCUUUGUGAAAGUAUAUAACGUUAUUAUCUUUAUCAGAGAAGAAAUGGUUCUGAACUUCUCAAGAAAGUAUACAAGCAGUAUAAAAAUGAGAUAAUUACACUUACUUAACAUACCUUAUUUUCAUCCAAAUAAACACGAAAAGAAUCCAACAUGAUAUUUGAAAUUCUACCAUAGGGUAUUUUACUAGAAAAAUAGAAUCUUGUGUUUUUGGUAAUGUUUGUUCAUAUCACAAAAUUACUGAGAAGCGAAACAUUUCUAAAUUCACAUUAGAACAUUGUAAUUCACAUUUGUGUUAGAAUGAUGGUUACCAGAGUCUGGGAAGGGUAGUGGAGUAGUAGAAUGGGGGAUGGUUAUUGGAUAUGAAAAUAUAGUUAGUUAGAAUGAAUAAGAUCUAGUAUUUGAUAGCACAACAGGGUAACUACAGUCAACAAUAAUUUAUUGUACAUUUAAAAAUAACUAUAAGACUAUAAUUAGAUUGUAACACAAAGAAAGGAUAAAUGUUUGAAGUGAUAGAUACCCCAUUUAUCCUGAUGUGAUUAUUACACAUUGUAUGCUUGUAUCAAAAUAUCUCAUGUACGCCAUACAUAUAUAUGCCUACUGUGUACUCACAAAAAUUAAAAAUUGUAAAAAUAAAUAAACAAAACAAAACAAAAUUGUUUGAUAUUUCUUUUAUAAAUUCCCUUUCACAAAUCUUUUCAUGACUUACACAG
rnacentral:lncRNA from 1 species